rnacentral:rRNA from 1 species
GGCCCCGCACAAGCAGCGGAGCGUGUGGUUUAAUUCGAUGUUACACGAAGAACCUUACCUGGGAUUGACAUGGAGGUGGUAGGGAAGCGAAAGCCGACCGACUCUUCGGAGAGCCUUCACAGGUGCUGCAUGGCUGUCGUCAGCUCGUGCCGUGAGGUGUCGGGUUAAGUCCCGUAACGAGCGCAACCCUUGCCCUUAGUUACAAGUGUCUAGGGGGACUGCCGGCGGGAAGCCGGAGGAAGGUGGGGAUGACGUCAAGUCAGCAUGGCCCUUAUAUCCAGGGCUACACACACGCUACAAUGGACGGUACAAAGGGCAGCGAAGCCGUGAGGUGGAGCGAAUCCCAGCAAAGCCGUCCUAAGUACGGAUAGCAGGCUGCAACUCGCCUGCUUGAAGCUGGAGUUGCUAGUAACCGCGCGUCAGCAUAGUGCGGUGAAUACGUUCCCGGGGCUU